GCUGCCAAGGUUGAGUUAUCUGAUUUGGUGUCCAAAGUAUCCACACAAUGCCUAAAUUCUGCAAUUUCAGGGGCGAAAGAACUGUCAGAUAUGUGCCUUGAGCAAACACAGAUGAAACCAACAGAUGAUUCAAUUGACAAAUGCUUAAUCUCCAAUGGAAGUUCUAUGAGGGACCAAGAACUGUACGUUAAUCAAAUGGAAUUGACACCUUCGAAUUUUAGAGCACCAACCAAGUCGAGGGAGUAUGAAAAUGAACCCAAGCUGCAAGAUACUGAACUCACAUGGUGCGAAAACCUGACAGAGAGCAGAAAGUUUCUUUCCACCAUGGAUGACAAUAAAAACUCCAGCAAUUUAUCAAUGAGCAUUGGACUUCAGGGAGGAAAUUGGAACAGCAGCAGCAACUAUUCAGAGGAAAUACAUAAAAGAACUGGUACAGAGUAUAUAUUUUUGGAACAAGAUACUCAUAUAAAUGAUUCAAUCAAGCUAGAGGAGCAGAAGACAUCACCAAAGUUUCAACCACCUUACUUUUCAAACAAACUGGACCAAAACACAGAGGAUGAAAAUGAUGCUUCUUCAAGUUGCAAGAAGUUUGAUUUAAAUGGUUUUAGUUUGAGCUGAACAAAAACACGGUUAGAGCAAUUUUCAUCAGAGAAGAAAGUUUGACUUAGUUACCGAAACCUGGUGUACCCAUUUGUUUCAUGUAAUUGAAUACAUGUUUAGUGAAAUGAUAAUGCGAUUGGGUAGAUUUAUUCAUAAAAAUCAAGAUAACCUUUUCCCAACAGACAUGAAUAGACACCUGAUGGACAUUCAACGUUCUUUAAUUCCAAAACAUCAACAGAUACAUUAGUUGAGUUCUAUGUUCAUACAUUAGUUUGUAAGAAUCUAAUCCAGCACUUAAAAAUAGAUCCUAAGAUCAGCUAGAUAACAGUACAAGAUACUAGUGAAGAUACCUGACCUAUUCCUCCUUCGUGGAUGGCGGGCCUAAACCACUCCGGUACCUUCUAUCUCUCCGUUGCCACUCCAACACUGAGUCAUAGAUAUGUAAGGGAAAUAUAUUGUAUAUUAUUUAUGAAUGUAGAAGGCUGGGAAAUGUAGUGUGUUAAGGUCCAUACUUAGGCACCACAGGCUCCCUUCUUCGUGAUGUGGCGUCUUGAUUGAUUCAUUCAGAUAGGUGAACUUACUUGUGAACUGCCAAGAAUAUAGGAAAUGGUGUCUCAUGACGCCAUGACCAUUAUUACACCUGUACGAAUGAAUUGACAGAGCUCGAGGUGCUAACGGCCUUGACUGGCUUUGAGUGAUAUUGCGCCUGUCCUUCAGGUCAUUGACUGUGACUUCACUUAUCAACUUCGACCUUUACCUUUAAAGUGAUGGUCAACCAACUGGCCUAGAUUAUAAGUUCGCACUGUGGUGGAACUUAGUGGCGUCGACCUCAAUCAAGGAACCAAGUUAGACUCGGAUGUUCGUGGUCUGCUUAGCCUCACGAUCGAGGUCCAUAGUCUAAUCAGAUGCAUACUCUUCCACGAGCCAGACUUCACCUAUAAACUUCUUACACUCACCGUGAGGCCUUUAAGUGCCCUGUAGGUAUCACUGUCGCAGAAGAAGUAAAAUAAAAUUACAGAGUUAUAUAAAGAAAAAGUCAGUAGGCAGUGCAAAAUUUAGUGAUAAAUCUGAGAAUGUUGUACAAUUAACAAGCCUAAGCAUAAAGUUCCAUAUCAAGUAGUAAAGGUGUAUUCAACACAGGAAAUCAUCUUAAAACAAGAAUCACUGUUAACCAUAAAUCAAACAAAUAACAGAACGUUCACUUUAGCGGAUUCAUGUAACAAAAGUAUUCAAUAAAAAAAUACCAGAAGACGAAAAGAAUCCCAAAAAAAAAAAAUAAUAAUAAUAAAAUAAAAGGACCUAGCAGCAUUUCUGAAAUAUGUGAUACUUUCUUAAUCUACUUUUGAUCAAGCUUUAGCAACCCAACAGAGCGCAUUCCAAUCAAAUGUAUGAAAUAAAAUUCAUGAAUCAAUUAGAAUAGCCCAUAGGGUAAGUAAUGAUCCGAUUGAUUCGUCCGCGAUUAACUACAAGAAAAGUAAAUUAUUCAUUGUCCAAAUGCUUUUAGACAGAAAUAAUCAAAUAACUGUGGAAAUUCUACUGUAAACACUUCUACAAUCGCUCGCUGUCAUUGUAAUACAAUAAAUGUAAGGGUUUUUCAUCAGCGUUAGUAAUUCAGCCAUUGUUUGCCAGAGAAUUGAUCCGAAAGAAGUUUUUCGGAGGGAAAUUAAUGGGCCCCAUUAACCAACUCUAUGGGUACCUAGACAAAUAUCCCAUAUAUUGGGACUAUUUUGAAAAAUCUUGAUAAAGUUGGAUUAAAUGGUAAUUAGAUAGAGUUUCAAACCUAAAAAUCACGCUACCACAAAAACCAGCCUCCAAACUGAAAAAAUCAAGGGAAAUUUUGAAGAAGAAAGAAGUAAACUUCCACAAAUUCGUUCAUUAUUCAAAGCUUUGGAAAAAGAUCAAGAUACUUCAUCAUUAAAAUCUUUGGAAAAAGAUCGAGACAAUCUUCCUGCAGUACACAAAUAAAAUUACAGGUUUUUUUUUUUUAAUGUUUUGGAAUCACUGUUUAAUUAAUUCCACAAUUUUAUCAGAAAUUUACCUUUAAGUGAAGCAAUACAAUUGCAAAUUGAAACGCAGAGAAGGUUACAUGAGCAGCUCGAGGUAAAAAAGGAAAUCACUAAUAUAUAUAUAUAUAUAUAUAUAUAUAUAUAUAUCACUUUGAACUCUGAAAUAAAAUGUUGCUUCUGGAUGUACUAUCGGAGCUUGCAGUAUUGUAAUGGAUGGAGAUUCGAAUGUUUGGUGAAAAGAUGCAUCACAGCCAAAUUAUUGAGGCAAAAUUUUGACUCAUUUUAGAUUAAGUCCCUGUUCAAGCCCCAUACUUUAAAACUUAUUUUUUCUCGAACUCAUUUCAACAAUACAUUCUCCCAAUAAAAUAAUUUUGCACGUAAAUCCAAUAUUUUUAUUUUUAUUUUUCACUUUUUAACCAAGCAUUCUCCGUAAAAAUCACUAUUUACAAAAUCUAUUGACAAAAAAGGAUUGUCAAACAGAGGCUAAGAUUGCAUUGUCAAACAGGUGCUAAGAUUACACGUUUGACCUCUUUCGGAAAUGAAACUUGUUACAAUUGUUGAAAUUUUCACAUUUCCAACAAUUAAAUAUGAAUAUGCAACGGUUAGUAGGCAAUGAAAUCAUUUUAAGUUUUUCAAGCUGCCAUUAUAACAAGGUUCAUUAUCCAUGCAUAGGUACAACGCCAUUUACAGCUCCGCAUAGAGGCUCAAGGUAAAUAUUUACAGUCUGUACUUGAGAAAGCACAGGAAACUCUUGGAAGACAGAACUUGGGAACAAUUGCUCUAGAGGCUGCCAAGGUUGAGUUAUCUGAUUUGGUGUCCAAAGUAUCCACACAAUGCCUAAAUUCUGCAAUUUCAGGGGCGAAAGAACUGUCAGAUAUGUGCCUUGAGCAAACACAGAUGAAACCAACAGAUGAUUCAAUUGACAAAUGCUUAUUCUACAAUGGAAGUUCUAUGAGGGACCAAGAACUGUACGUUAAUCAAAUGGAAUUGACACCUUCGAAUUUUAGAGCACCAACCAAGUCGAGGGAGUAUGAAAAUGAACCCAAGCUGCAAGAUACUGAACUCACAUGGUGCGAAAACCUGACAGAGAGCAGAAAGUUUCUUUCCACCAUGGAUGACAAUAAAAACUCCAGCAAUUUAUCAAUGAGCAUUGGACUUCAGGGAGGAAAUUGGAACAGCAGCAGCAACUAUUCAGAGGAAAUACAUAAAAGAACUGGAACAGG
rnacentral:lncRNA from 1 species